GGACUACCAGGGUUUCUAAUCCUGUUUGCUCCCUUGGCUUUCGUGCCUCAGUGUCAGGUAUUGUCCAGGGACUCGCCUUCGCCACUGGUGUUCCUCUUGAUAUCUACGCAUUUCACUGCUACACCAAGAAUUCCAGUCCCCCCUCCAAUCCUCCAGACCAGUAGUAUCCAAUGCCUUUCCCGGGUUAAGCCCGGGGCUUUCACAUCGAACUUACCAGCCCACCUGCGCACCCUUUACGCCCAGUGAAUCCGAACAACGCUCGGGACCUCUGUAUUACCGCGGCUGCUGGCAC
rnacentral:rRNA from 1 species